GUGGGAAUGUAUGGAGUCAAUUUCUGACUUCAUCACUUCCAUCCAUUUCUCGAAGUCUACAUCUAACAUUGCCUCAUCAUAGGCUUUGGGAUCAUUCCUAAUGUCCCUAUCUCCCACAAAGAAUGCUUCUUCUAAAUCUUCUAUAAGAAUACUUAAGUACCUUUCAAGAGGAUGAGAGACCCUACUUGAUCUACGAGGUG
rnacentral:lncRNA from 1 species